rnacentral:lncRNA from 1 species
GCCAGGCAGAGGCCUCUAGCCCUGGAAAUAGAACUGCCCAGAACCCUUUCUUUGAGCGGCCCCCAGGGAUGACAGCUCCUGUGAAGGGGCAGGGUUCCGGGGUCUGAGGCGCCCGCACAGGGAGUGUGAAGGAAGCAACACAAAUCAGAAACUGCCCAAGUUGGUUGUGAAGACAAACACACAGAGCGGCAGCCCCAGCUGGCAGGUUUCGACACCUGCUUCCUGCUUGUUUACCUGCCCAGGGGAGCUCUGGGCUCCAGGCCAGGCCCACCCACAGCUGGGUCCACCCACGCGCAGCCCUGACGGAGGGGGCCCAGGAGGCUGCUGGGGAGCCGUCUGAUGCCCAGCUGACAUCUGGAGGACAGGAGUGCAGUGUGAAGAGGUGAAGGCAGGGAAACAAGUGGCCCGCCCGGGGCCUCGAGGCUGGGCUAGCAAAGCUGAGAAUAUCAGUCGCCCAUUCUCCCCUGGUCACCAGCCCUGAUUUGUCCUUGGAGCUUCAAAUAGUGUCUUUGAGAAGUGAUGCUGACAUCACCAUAGUUAGCGUUUGCUGAGAGCCAGACUCCGUGCUGGGGGACCAGGGUGGGGAGAGUGAUAAUUUGCAGACCAGUAUAUGAAAGAGCAUCUCACCUCAACACGGCAUUUACGGAAGGCCCAGGGAGUCAGAGCGGGUGGUGGGAGCCCAGGCCCCUGGGCAUCAGGCCAGGCUUCCCAAUGGGACGUUGAGACCUUGCAGGACUCGUGAAAACCUCGAAGCUGCCAUGACCUGCAAGAAUGCAACAAUGGUGGAAUUGCAGUGCUGCAAAGACAGGACUCAGUGCCAAUUCACAGAGGAGGAAAUGGAGGCUCAGAGAAUUAAUCAUCCACCUGAGCUCACACAACAGGUGAGUGGCAGGGUUAGGACCGGGGGCCAGGUGGCCAGACUUUGGAGCCCAAGCUCCUCUGCAUGACGUGCCCCUGACGUGGUCUUGUCUUAGGGACUCAAAGCCUCACCAAGACUCCAAGCAUCGCUCUGGAGACUAUCAGACUCCAGGGGCCCAGCACAGAGCCAGGUCUGAACCAAGUCCUCUCGGCUGGAACCCCUGUUCUGCCCAGUUCAGGCAUCAGGUAGGUACCACGAGACUUGAAAUACCAGGAAGAGGAACGGGAAGCUGGCUGACAUCAGGUUUUCCGAGGGGCUUGUGGGUUUCUGUUAUCCCCCACUUUGAAAAGCCUGAUUGGGUUCAGGGUCAGAACCACCCUUUGCUCUAAGAGCAUUAAGCUGCUUCAGAGAAAAUGGCUUUGUUGGGUCUUUGGAAACCGUUCCUGAGAAAUGAUGGCGGCAGAUAAUGGACGUUCAGCAAACCUGUCUCUGACGCGCUGCUGGCUUUGGACGUGGUCCGAGAACUAGUGUGCUGUUGGUCUCCGGUUCCAGUCCCAGCUGGUCCUGGCUGCCCUGGGUGAGGCUUUCAGCUGGGCCGGAUUCUUGGGUCUUGAUUUAACACAUACCUAGCUGUUUGGGUCUUCUUCAAAAAAAAGAAAAACCCUCUCUGGAUUUCAGGAAGAGUCAUCAUCCUGUGAGACUAACAACAACAACAGGGGAGCCUUCGCACGGCUCUGCAUGUGAUCGAGACCCACCACGUGCCAGGCCGCUGGGGCAUCUGUCCGCUGCCCCAUGAGGUAGGCAUUGCUAUUGCCCCACCUGUUUUACAGAUGCCAAAGUGGAGGCAAAGAACAAAUUCAAAGCAGCCGUGUUUUCCUGAAAUGCUUCUAGAAUUCAGGUCCUUCUCUUAGUGUGAACUGUGCCCCCCAGAGAGUAACCAGCGCAGAGCCAGUCACAGCAAGGCAUCAACAAUAAAUACCGGUUGAAUGAAUGAAGGAGGAAUUUC